AUACAGAGGGUGCGAGCGUUAAUCGGAAGUACUGGGCGUAAAGCGCGCGUAGGCGGCUUAUUAAGUCAGAUGUGAAAUCCCCGGGCUCAACCUGGGAACUGCAUCUGAUACUGGUAAGCUAGAGUUUUGGAGAGGGAAGUAGAAUUUCAGGUGUAGCGGUGAAAUGCAUAGAGAUCUGAAGGAAUACCAGUGGCGAAGGCGACUUCCUGGCCAAAAACUGACGCUGAGGUGCGAAAGCGUGGGUAGCAAACGGGAUUAGAAACCCUAGUAGUCC
rnacentral:rRNA from 1 species